GAUGAAGAACGUAGCGAAAUGCGAUAAGUAGUGUGAAUUGCAGAAUUCCGUGAAUCAUCGAAUCUUUGAACGCACAUUGCGCCUUCUGGUAUUCCGGAAGGCAUGCCUGUUCAAGAGUCAUUAACAACCGUUUCGAUCCCUUUCUUUCAGAAAUUACAAAGAGGAAAAGGGUUUGGUUAUGGUGGAGGAGGGAAAGGGAGCGUUUAGCCUGUAAAAAAAGAGGCUGUGUUCCGCCUCCCCCCCAAAAUUGUACAGGCGGUCGUGUGCGCCCACGCAUCGAGGUGUUGUAAAAGCUGCCACGGCACUUUUCACCUGUGCAGUGCGAGAUUGGCCAGCCGGUUUAAAAACCCCUCCAAACAAUCAAAGGUUGACCUCGGAUCAGGUAGGGAUACCCGCUGAACUUAAGCAUAUCAAUAAGCGGAGGA
rnacentral:misc_RNA from 1 species